rnacentral:rRNA from 1 species
UACGUAGGGUGCAAGCGUUAAUCGGAAUUACUGGGCGUAAAGCGUGCGCAGGCGGUUUUGUAAGCCAGAUGUGAAAGCCCCGGGCUUAACCUGGGAAUGGCAUUUGGGACUGCAAGGCUUGAGUGCGGCAGAGGAGACUGGAAUUCCUGGUGUAGCAGUGAAAUGCGUAGAUAUCAGGAGGAAUACCGAUGGCGAAGGCGGCCACCUGGGCCGACCCUGACGCUGAGGCGCGAAGGCGUGGGGAGCGAACAGG